GAUUUCCCAUAGCGUCAAGCUAGUAAGAACCCUGAAAGAUGAUCAGGUUGAUAGGUCAGAGGUGGAAGCGUGGUAACAUGUGGAGCUGACUGAUACUAAUCGUUCGAGGACUUAACCAAUUU
rnacentral:rRNA from 1 species